rnacentral:rRNA from 1 species
AAAGGAAUUGACGGGGCCCGCACAAGCGGUGGAGUAUGUGGUUAAUUCGAUGCAACGCGAAGAACCUUACCUGGUCUUGACAUCCCGGAGACCCUUAGGAAACUAGGGGUGCUUCCAUCUGGAAGAAUCUGGAGACAGGUGCUGCAUGGCUGUCGUCAGCUCGUGUCGUGAGAUGUUGGGUUAAGUCCCGCAACGAGCGCAACCCUUGCCUUUAGUUGCCAGCAGUUCGGCUGGGCACUCUAAAGGGACUGCCGGUGUUAAACCGGAGGAAGGUGGGAAUGACGUCAAGUCCUCAUGGCCUUUAUGACCAGGGCUACACACGUACUACAAUGGCCGAUACAAAGGGCAGCGACACUGCGAGGUGAAGCCAAUCCCGUAAAAUCGGUCUCAGUCCGGAUUGGAGUCUGCAACUCGACUCCAUGAAGUUGGAAUCGCUAGUAAUCGUGGAUCAGCAUGCCACGGUGAAUACGUUCCCGGGCCUU